rnacentral:sRNA from 1 species
GGAUGUGAGGGUGAGCUGGCCAUCACCCCAUUGAUUGGCUAUGCGGCUGGCUAGGCGUGUGUCCCCAUCUUCCGUGUCUGCUCCACCUGAAUCCCUUCCAAAGCCAAACUCUCAAAGACGAGGACCUUCCCCGUAGAGGGGACCUUCUUGAGUGAGGGGUAUAUGAGUGGCUGUGCUCCCCCAAACAAGCCUUCAUUUAUUUGUGCAG